rnacentral:rRNA from 1 species
CCUACGGGAGGCAGCAGUAGGGAAUCUUCCGCAAUGGACGAAAGUCUGACGGAGCAACGCCGCGUGAGCGAUGAAGGCCUUCGGGUCGUAAAGCUCUGUUGUCAGGGAAGAACAAGUACCGGAGUAACUGCCGGUACCUUGACGGUACCUGACCAGAAAGCCACGGCUAACUACGUGCCAGCAGCCGCGGUAAUACGUAGGUGGCAAGCGUUGUCCGGAAUUAUUGGGCGUAAAGCGCGCGCAGGCGGUUCCUUAAGUCUGAUGUGAAAGCCCCCGGCUCAACCGGGGAGGGUCAUUGGAAACUGGGGAACUUGAGUGCAGAAGAGGAGAGCGGAAUUCCACGUGUAGCGGUGAAAUGCGUAGAGAUGUGGAGGAACACCAGUGGCGAAGGCGGCUCUCUGGUCUGUAACUGACGCUGAGGCGCGAAAGCGUGGGGAGCGAACAGGAUUAGAUACCCUGGUAGUCCACGCCGUAAACGAUGAGUGCUAAGUGUUAGAGGGUUUCCGCCCUUUAGUGCUGCAGCAAACGCAUUAAGCACUCCGCCUGGGGAGUACGGCCGCAAGGCUGAAACUCAAAGGAAUUGACGGGGGCCCGCACAAGCGGUGGAGCAUGUGGUUUAAUUCGAAGCAACGCGAAGAACCUUAC